CAGGUUGUGGAGCCUAGAAGGACCCUGCGCGCACCUCGGCCCGUGGGAGUCGCGGUCUCGCGGCCUGGCUCUGAGGCGGUGAGCGUGGGGGUGGUUCCUAAGUCCCCUCAGGAGGCCUGCGGCCGAGUCACCGGGAGCCCCGCCGGGUAAAGGUCGCCGCCCGCUAGUCUCGCAGGGUCCUCGGCCUUCCUGGCCCAGCUGGCCGCACCCGAGCUUUCGUCCCUAGCACAUCACCGCCUCGAGAAGGAAGCCUCUUUGUUCCGUUCAGGAUCAGCGGACCUGAGGUUACCCCGUUUGAGGCUGUGCAUCUCACAAUUGUUUUUUCUUGUGAGUGAGGUAAAAUCAGGUACUUUUGGAAGAGGAGGAGCCUCACUGCAUCUCUGCUACACAAGAUUACUCUGUCCUUGCCUUUGAAGCUUCCACAUUCCCAUGUUCUCAAGCACCAUUAAAAAAAAAGUUUUAUUUAUUCAUUGAUUUUAAAUAAAGAGGAAGGGAAACAUC